GCUGGGCUCAGACACAAACAAAGUCACUUUUCCCGAACUAGCAAGAGUGGAAAUAGGAUGUGUCAGCAAGACAAAAUCUCUCCUCGAGGCGCCUCUGUAGCAUCUAUUAGAAGUGGAGUCGGGAGACUUCUUGUGACCGUGGGGAGCCCGUGGUUAAGAAAAGGGAAUUUUGGAAGGAUAGACGGGGCAACAGCCGAGGGGCCAGACUGAAACGUCAAUCUUGGGUGCUGACCACCGUGUUCCAGAACCCAGGGGGGAAAGGAAGACACCAAAUUCUCCAUUCAAGGCUUUACUCAAUUCCUAUCAAAUACUACCAGUUCCACAAUGAAUACUCCUAUGAGUAUUUGAUUAGCAAAGAAACCCAUUUAUCCAUGUUACAGCAAAAUAGAAAUCAGAGAAAGUAUACAUAGGAGGACAAUAUCCUGAAAUGGAACUGGUCUUUUCCAUCUUCUUUCUUAACUCUGGAAAUCACAAGUAUCUAAAGCAACUCAAGUCAAACUUUGAUGAGCCUCAAAGGAGAUUGACUUGAAGACUUUGGAAUGGGGUUGGUCCUUUGAGAGACCUGAAGAGGACUGGUCUUCAAGAGAUCUCAGUUCUCACCAACUUUGCCUUGCACAUCAAACCAAUAUUGAGAAAGUCCCAUACCAAUGGGCUUUGAGAUAGGAGUUAUGCAAUAAAAUAAAUCUAUGUAGUAAUA